CUGAUACUUCCAAUACUAAAGUAUCCGCCAGAGAACUACGAGCACAAACGCUUAAAACUCUAAGGACUUGGCGGUGCCCUAAACCCACCUAGAGGAGCCUGUUCUGUAAUCGAUAACCCACGAUACACCCGACCACUUCUAGCCCCAAAGCAGCCUACAUACCGCCGUCCCCAGCUCACCUUAUAUGAAAGCACAAACAGUGAGCACAAUAGCCACCCGCUAAUAAGACAGGUCAAGGUAUAGCCUAUGAAGUGGAAGAAAUGGGCUACAUUUUCUAAACUAGAAAAAUCAACGAAAAGGGAGAUGAAAAUCUCCCUAGAAGUAGGAUUUAGCAGU
rnacentral:rRNA from 1 species